GUGCCCUGUUCACACUAAAACACAGGAAACCUCAGGGGCUUCCUGUCAAAGGUUUAACUGCAUCCAAUCGCUUUUAAUACGUGCUUAUGUUACUGGUGCUCAUGCGAGGACCAUCUUUUCUGUGAAUUGGGAUAUAUUGUGCAUGCUAAUGAGAAGACCGCAUUUUGCAGUGUAGAAGAUUCACCAGCCAGAAAAGCCACACCAGCCAACUACUCCUAGAUGACACGGUCAUCCUAGCCCGUCAGUCUCGGGCGCCAGGAGACACCUACGGGGGAGGGGGUACUGUCACAAAUUCACCAGCCACAACAUCCUAAUUGUGAUUACUAAUUACUAAUUGAAUAAUGAACAUCUGAUGUCACUUACCAUAGCACUAUAUCUGUUCACUCACUUCAACAUUUCACUGACUGGUCUCAAGGUUACAUACCUACCUCAUGCCUCUCAAUAUCCCUCUGGAUCUCUGUGGCUCUGUGUCUCCCGCCAUCUUGCUCCAUCUUUCUGUUUAAAGCUCUGCUUGAGUUUGUGAAAAUAAAGAAGCUCUGAAUCAUUAA